rnacentral:rRNA from 1 species
GAAUCCGGGGUUCGGCUCCGGAGAGGCAGCCUGAGAAACGGCUACCACAUCCACGGAAGGCAGCAGGUGCGCAAAUUACCCAAUUCUGACUCAGAGAGGUAGUGACAAGAAAUAACGGUUAGCAGCAAAAAAUUGCUUGCAUUCCGGAAUGAGAACAACCUAAACUCCUUAUCGACUAACAAGUGGAGGGCAAGCCUGGUGCCAGCAGCCGCGGUAAUACCAGCUCCACUAGCGUAUACUAAAGUUGUUGCUGUUAAAAAGCUCGUAGUUGGAUAUCAGCCCGCGCGGAAGACGCCGCUGCGUUUGCAGAGAGGCGUCGAAGCGGCUCGCCGCGCAGCGCGGGCUUAGUUCAGGGGGCCGUUCUGGGCAUUAGCUUGCCUGGGGCGGCGCAUCCUGAUCCUUUACUUUGAGAAAAUUAAAGUGCUCAAAGCAGGUUCCGCCUGGAUGCAUUAGCAUGGAAUAAUAAAACACGACUUUGGCGCCUUCGGGCCUUUGUUGGUUUUGAGCCGAAGUAAUGAUUGAUAGGAACAAUUGGGGGUGCUAGUAUCGCCGGGCCAGAGGUAAAAUUCUUUAAUUCCGGUGAGACUGCCUUAUGCGAAAGCAUUCACCAAGUGUGUUUUCUUUAAUCAAGAACUAAAGUUGAGGGAUCGAAGACGAUCAGAUACCGUCGUAGUCUCAACCAUAAACUAUGUCGACUAAGCAUUGGGCAAGUGGAUACUUCCUCAGCACUUCACGAGAAAUCAAAGUUUUCGGACUCAGGGGGAAGUAUGCUCGCAAGAGUGAAACUUAAAGGAAUUGACGGAAGGGCACCACCAGGUGUGGAGCCUGCGGCUUAAUUUGACUCAACACGGGGAAACUUACCAGGGCCAGACAUAGCCAGGAUUGACAGAUUGAAGUUCUUUCUUGAUUCUAUGCAUGGUGGUGCAUGGCCGUUCUUAGUUGGUGGAGUGAUUUGUCUGGUUAAUUCCGAUAACGAACGAGACCUCAGCCAUCUAAAUAGCCGUCGCUAGUCUAGCGCUCGCAAGAGUUCGGCUUCUUAGAGGGACCGCCCGCGGGAGCGGGAGGAAGUUUGAGGCGAUAACAGGUCAGUGAUGCCCUUAGAUGCUCUGGGCUGCACGCGCGCUACAAUGACGCACUCAGCGAGGGCCCGGCUUGGCAAGGCCGGGGAACCUGCAACGUGCGUCUUGGUUGGGAUAGAUGAUUGC